GGCAAGAUGUCCGAGCGGUCUAAGGAGCUGCACUCAAGAGAUCAUAUGACCUUGUUCGCUUCAACAAAAAGUGAAUGUAUUGCAGUAUCGUAAGAUGCGUGGGUUCGAAUCCCACUCUUGUCA